GAUGAACGCUGGCGGCGUGCCUAAUACAUGCAAGUCGAGCGAACAGAUAAGGAGCUUGCUCCUUUGACGUUAGCGGCGGACGGGUGAGUAACACGUGGAUAACCUACCUAUAAGACUGGGAUAACUUCGGAAAACCGGAGCUAAUACCGGAUAACAUAUUGAACCGCAUGGUUCAAUAGUGAAAGGCGGCUUUGCUGUCACUUAUAGAUGGAUCCGCGCCGUAUUAGCUAGUUGGUAAGGUAACGGCUUACCAAGGCAACGAUACGUAGCCGACCUGAGAGGGUGAUCGGCCACACUGGAACUGAGACACGGUCCAGACUCCUACGGGAGGCAGCAGUAGGGAAUCUUCCGCAAUGGGCGAAAGCCUGACGGAGCAACGCCGCGUGAGUGAUGAAGGUCUUCGGAUCGUAAAACUCUGUUAUCAGGGAAGAACAAAUGUGUAAGUAACUGUGCACAUCUUGACGGUACCUGAUCAGAAAGCCACGGCUAACUACGUG
rnacentral:rRNA from 1 species